GUGCCAUGAAGAUAACUGUGCAAGUGUGAAAACUUUGGGUCUUUCACCAUGUCUGAAUGUUAAGAUGACAAAAAUAGCACAUCUGAGCC